ensembl:lncRNA uncharacterized LOC113884704
UAGGAUUCCAUGUUCCUUCUAAUUUUUUCAAGCAAAAACCUUCCUGAGCUUUUAAAUUGACAUCUGAGAUUUUACUAAAUCAGUACUUUGGAAAUCCAACCUUGCAAGAUAAAUUUUGACUCCAAGCAUGGCAUCCAGGGCCUUCAUGGUCUCUCUUAGUCUCCCCAGACCAGUUUCAAACAUACUGAAUGUUCCUUGCAGUUCUGUAUCUGCUUGCAUUUCUUAUUCCCCCAACCCCCACUACCCCAUGUCCAAAAUCUUUCCUCAGACAUUUCAAGGGCUCAUUUCCCCACCCUGCCUGUUCAUUUUGUCUACCCUCCAUCACUGUGCGUGUUCCUACCAGUCCUGUGUCUCAGUUGUCUUGUUUUGACUUGUCUGCUAGCCCUCUGGACCUGCUCCUCCCAGGAAUGUAUGAAGUCAGCUCACUCUGCAUCUCCAGGGCCUGUCCGAUGAGUGGCUUCAGUGGACAUAGGAUGGGUGGAGCCAAACAGAAAGGAUUCUCCUGGCUAUGUGUCUGCAUCCUGGGGAAGGGACAACAGAUGGUCCUUCCAGGUGGAAGUUGAGUCAACCUAACAUCUAGCAAAUGUUUAUUCAGCACCCACUCUCUGAAGGGCCUGCAGGAAGCCUAAGGACACAAGUGGAAAAGACUUCACAGGGUUUUCCAUGAAGUAGAAUUAAUUCAUGGGGAAAUGCACAACCCUGAGAAACUAUUUUGGUCCCUGGAAGGUCGGCUGAUUUGAAAGACUAAGAGAAGACCCAACAUCAACAGCAAGUCCAGCUCCCAUAUCAGAUCUCUGUUACAUUUUCUAUGAUCACUUCCUUCUCUCUGAGAGCUGGUUUUCUUUUCUGUAGAGUGAAGAUUAGUCACCAUUGCCUCACAGGUCAGUUUGGAGACAGCCUGAGAUGAAUGAUGGGCAGUGCUUUGGAACCUGUAGGACAUUUCUUGCCUCAUUCUCAUCCUGAGCACUCACAACUGAGCACCUGCCUGCUGGGGCUGGAAGUCUGACCUUCUUCUCCACUGUGUGACCCUGAGCACCUUACUCAACCUCUAUGCACGCAGAUUUCUCAUGAUCCCACUGAGGAUAUUAACAUGACAGACAUCAUCCAAUUAUUGUAAGAAUUAACUAAAUAAUGUAUUAGUUAGUGCCUAACAUAAAUACUCAACAAAUAAUAUUUACUUAUGGAGAAGGAGAUGGCAACCCACUCUAGUAUUCUUGCCUGGAGAAUUUCAUGGACAGAGAAGCCUGGCAGACUACAGUCCAUGGAUCACAAAGAGUCGGACAUGACUGGGUGGCUAACACAAUACUUAAAACAAUCUAAUGUUUAUUAGUUUAAUUUUAAAAGUGACACAGGAAAACAAAUUGUGUCAUGUUCUCUCUGGAAUAUGUUUUGUGAUGACAAAGAUCAUGUGAUAAUACACGUAUGAUUAAAUGGUCAAUCCAAUGUUUACAGAAAAAGAGAGUAUCUGUAGCACCUUUAUUUCCCACAGCAAUUCUCCUCAAGGGUAGCCUCUCUUGCUUCUUACAAUUAAUAGUAAUUAGUAUCUUUUAUCAAGUCUAUAAUUGUGUGUAUAUUAAGACAUAUCAGCAUAUUAAAAAGCAGAGACAUUACUUUGCCAACAAAGGUCCGUCUAGUCAAGGCUAUGGUUUUUCCAGUCAUAAUGUAUGGAUGUGAGAGUUGGACUAUAAAGAAAGCUGAGCACUAAAGAAUUGAUGAUUUUGAACUGUGGUGUUGGAGGAGACUCUUGGGAGUCCCUUGGAGUGCAAGAAGAUCCAACCAGUUCAUCCUAAAGGAGAUCAGUCCUGGGUGUUCAUUGGUAGGACUGAUUUUGAAGCUGAAACUCCAAUACUUUGGCCACCUGAUGCGAAGAGCUGACUCAUUUGAAAAGACCCUGAUGCUGGAAAAGAUUGAGGGCAGGAGGAGAAGGGGACGACAGAGGCUGAGAUGGUUGGAUGGCAUCACCAACUCGAUGAACAUGGGUUUGUAACUCCGGGAGUUGGUGAUGGACAGGGGGACCUGGCGUGCUGUGGUUCAUGGAGUUGCAAAGAGUCAGACACAACUGAGUGAAUGAACUGAACUGAACUGAACUAAGACACAUCAAUAUUUUUAUUUACUACUAAGUAACAUUGAUUUGCAUCCCAAUUUCAAAAAUAUUAUAUAUAGAAAGCACUGUGUGUGGGGUUCUUGACCUGCAGAACCAUCCCUUCCAUCCUCUGAUCCCCAAAUAACAGCAGACUCGAUUACAACCUGCUUCUUGGUCUUGGGACUUAGUUCAAGCUCCUUCCCUUUGGAGGUUCUGAUGGAAACAGAGGAAUACCUUCCUAAGAAAAAUACACACACUUGCCCAACAGCACAAGAAAGAAAUAAUGUGAAAACUGAGACAGACCUCAGAAAUGGGGAUAAGAACUCAAAGAAACAAGAAAAAAUUGCUACAAGGUACUACUUCAUGCAGAAGAUCAAGGUCAAAUUCAAGUCAUGUCAUGUUGAUAGUACCCUUGAAAUAAUGAAAACAACGCUUUCCCUCUGUGGUCUUCCUCCAAAAAUCUCUUAACUGAAGUUUAAUUGUGGGAGAACCCACAGAUAAAUCACAGUUGUGGGACAUUCCAUAAAAUAUCAAUACCUGACUGCAAAGGUACAAACUUUUAGUUGCAAGAUACUUGAAAGCUGCUGUGAGAGUAAAUCUUAAGUGACACUGGGACCAGCCCCCUCCUGGAAUCUCCUUGUGAGCUGGCCUUCAAGUUGUCCCAACUCUAACCUCACCUGUUUAGUCAGCAAUCAGAUGGAAUAGAAAACUGUCACCUGAGAUCUUGAAGUCUGUUGGGAUGCAGAGAGAGCUCAGUGAGGUGAGUGUGUUCAGCUCCUGAGAUACUUUCUCCCUUAGGAGACUGGGGAUGUGGUGUGUUAGUGCUCUCCAUCCCAGGAAAUAUGAUGCCAAUAUUGGUUGUGGGAAGACACAGAGACAAUAACUUUUACAUGUGAUCCAGGAAACUAUGUAAUGGUGGAUACAUGAUGCCAAGUGUGCUCAAAGGGUCCUGGCAUCUUUGGGUUUUGCAAGCUCUAUUGGUGGUUAUGAACAAUUCAUAGGGAUUUUCUAUUUGCAGUGAUUAAGUCAAAUUUUCAUGUUUCCUGUAUUGUCUACACAGGUAUAGAGAUAUUUAGGUUAAUUUCAAUAAAGAUACUAGAGAUUACUCUGAACA